CUUCAUUGUUUAAUUACAUUUAUUUAGUGCAAUAGUAUCAUAGUACACAUGUACCAAGCCAAACUAUGAUAUAAAAGGCAGCAUAUGGCAAAUAUUAAGUGGGCUUGAAAGUAGAAGCAAGAACGAGAGAUAAAAGACCGUCUUCCUGUUUCUAACCUUAAUUUGAACGGGACAAAAGUACCUUAAAAGCUUGAAAGUAGAGGCAUCCGGAAAUCACUGAUCACUGCCGUUGUCUUCGGUACCAAUAGUCCUGCCCGCUUUGUUGCCAAUCGCCAGUGACGAUAAACCACCUUCUGGUUUCAUGUAUCUUUGCACGAUUUUUUGUGGUGUAAGAUGGUCAAAUGUGUGAUGCCCGUGCCAAAUUUGGUGGAGCAUGAACAUUCGAGGAGCUCAUAAAAAAAACCAAGCCUCUGAGAGAGUUUGAAAUAGAUUAUUUUGCCUUUUUGGCCGAAAACUCCUCGAAUGUCAUUUACCCGCUACUUUGUGUACGCACCUACUGCACUGAAGCAUCUUCAUGCAAAAAAGUUGUUAGAUAAAAUGAGAUAAACGAGACACAAGAGACACGGAUGUUUACGUGGAAAUCCUUGCGGGAGAAAACCACGGACGCACGAAGGCGCAAUCAUUAUGAGGGUGGAGUAUUACAAGCACGAGACGACAGGCCGUUUUUAGGUGCGAAUACAUGGAGUAUAUAUGAGGGGCAAUACAUGAGAGUCCUUGGAGGACAAGUAAAUGAGUUGUACUCGUACGCGUCGGUACCAACGCAAAGGCUCACACCGUUUGUACUAUGUCUAGUCCAAUACAGUAGAAUUUGG
rnacentral:lncRNA from 1 species